AUGUUGCAAGGUUCGAUCCCAGCCUCUUUCAAAGGGUUACUCAACCUAAAAGUAUUGUGCCUAUCCUGUAACAACCUUUCUGGCACUAUUCCAAAGUAUUUGGCCAACUUUACUUCUCUGACUAGCUUGAACCUUUCUUUUAAUAAGUUCCAAGGGGAGAUACCAGAUGGAGGUAUUUUCUCAAAAAACAUCAGCUCUCAAUCUUUGAUGGGAAAUGCUGGGUUGUGUGGUGCCCCACGUCUAGGAGUUUUGCCAUGGCAAGUUGAUUCACACCCAUCCAACAAACACUCGCUAAGAUUUUUGCUUCCAGUUCUCAUGAUAACACUGGGGGCUAUAGCAAUUCUCCUAUACCUAAUGAACAGAAAGAAAAAUAGGAAGCAACCAGAUGUUUCGACUUCUAUUGACAUGGCUGACGUGAUCAGCCGUAGGUUAAUAUCCUACCAUGAUAUUGCUGAAGCCACUGAUAAUUUCAACGACGACAACAUACUUGGAGCUGGAACUUUUGGUAAAGUUUACAAGGGCCAACUGGAUGAUGGUUCGGUUGUUGCAAUUAAAGUGAUCAACAUGCAAGUCGAGCAGGCCGUGAGGAGCUUUGAUGCUGAAUGUCAAGUGCUACGAAUGGCUCGCCAUCACAACUUGAUACGGAUAUUGAAUACUUGUUCCAACCUAGAUUUCAGAGCACUGUUGCUUCAGUACAUGGCCAAUGGUAGCUUGGACGCACACUUGCACACUGAAAAUUGGGAGCCGCUAGGAUUCAUCAAGAGAUUGGACAUUAUGCUUGGUGUGUCGGAGGCGAUGGAGUACCUACAUCAUCAUCACUAUCAAGUUGUUUUACACUGUGACCUGAAGCCUAGCAAUGUGCUCUUCGAUACGGACAUGACGGUGCAUGUUGCUGACUUUGGCAUUGCAAAGUUACUUUUGGGCGAUGAUAACUCCAUGGUAUCAGCGAGUAUGCCAGGGACGAUUGGUUACAUGGCCCCAGGUAUGUGUACUUGCUACCAUCAUGCUUGA
rnacentral:rRNA from 1 species